rnacentral:rRNA from 1 species
UAAGGAAUAUUGGUCGAUGGACGCAAGUCUGAACCAGCCAUGCCGCGUGAAGGAUUAAGGCCCUCUGGGUUGUAAACUUCUUUUAUAGGGGAAGAAAUGUGACGGUUCUCCGUCACUUGACGGUACCCUGGGAAUAAGCACCGGCUAACUCCGUGCCAGCAGCCGCGGUAAUACGGAGGGUGCAAGCGUUAUCCGGAUUCACUGGGUUUAAAGGGUGCGUAGGUGGGCAGAUAAGUCAGUGGUGAAAUCUUCCGGCUUAACCGGGAAACUGCCGUUGAUACUAUUUGUCUUGAAUAUUGCGGAGGUAAGCGGAAUAUGUCAUGUAGCGGUGAAAUGCUUAGAUAUGACAUAGAACACCAAUUGCGAAGGCAGCUUACUACACAAUCAUUGACACUGAGGCACAAAAGCGUGGGUAGCAAACA